rnacentral:rRNA from 1 species
CCUACGGGUGGCAGCAGUAGGGAAUAUUGCACAAUGGGCGCAAGCCUGAUGCAGCAACGCCGCGUGCGCGAAGAAGGCCUUCGGGUUGUAAAGCGCUUUUCUGGGAGACGAGAGAGGACGGUAACCCAGGAAGAAGGCUCGGCUAACUACGUGCCAGCAGCCGCGGUAAAACGUAGGAGUCAAGCGUUAUCCGAAUUUACUGGGCGUAAAGCGCGUGCAGGCGGUUGGACAAGUUGGAUGUGAAAGCUCCUGGCUCAACUGGGAGAGGACGUUCAAGACUGUUCGACUAGAGGGCGACAGAGGGAGGUGGAAUUCCCGGUGUAGGGGUAAAAUGCGUAGAUAUCGGGAGGAACACCGGAGGCGAAGGCGGCCUCCUGGGUCGUACCUGACGCUGAGAUGCGAAAGCUAGGGGAGCGAACGGGAUUAGAUCCCCGGGUAGU